GAUGAACGCUAGCGGGAGGCCUAACACAUGCAAGCCGAGCGGUAUUUGUUCUUCGGAACAGAGAGAGCGGCGCACGGGUGCGGAACACGUGUGCAACCUGCCUUUAUCUGGGGGAUAGCCUUUCGAAAGGAAGAUUAAUACCCCAUAAUAUAUUGAGUGGCAUCACUUGAUAUUGAAAACUCCGGUGGAUAGAGAUGGGCACGCGCAAGAUUAGAUAGUUGGUGAGGUAACGGCUCACCAAGUCAAUGAUCUUUAGGGGGCCUGAGAGGGUGAUCCCCCACACUGGUACUGAGACACGGACCAGACUCCUACGGGAGGCAGCAGUGAGGAAUAUUGGACAAUGGGUUAGCGCCUGAUCCAGCCAUCCCGCGUGAAGGACGACGGCCCUAUGGGUUGUAAACUUCUUCUGUAUAGGGAUAAACCUACUCUCGUGAGAGUAGCUGAAGGUACUAUACGAAUAAGCACCGGCUAACUCCGUG
rnacentral:rRNA from 1 species